ensembl:lncRNA
CCGCAGCCCGCCCGGUGAAGGUAAAGAUCCGCCUCGGUCGUCGGGAGAAGGCGGGCGAGCGAGGAAAGGGCCGCAGCCGGAGGUCCGGCCGCAUCCGAGCCAAGCCCGUCGUCAGCGAUGACGACACAGAGGAGGAGCAGGAGGAGGAGCCUUCCCCAAGUGCCUCAGCGGAGGAGUCCUAAACCACGACUUUCACAAAGUUAAACUUCACAGCUUUCAUCAUAUAACAGUCCACCUUUGUCUGCUCCAUUGGUACCAGUGAGUUAAUUUAGCUAGAGCCAAUACAAGGUUACGGCUAUGUAUGAUCACUUUUUGGUUUUCAAAACGCAGUAUUAACAACAAGAAUUAUCGUCUAAAUUUAAGUUCCUUAAGUUGAAAUAGGACAUUAUGUUUGAUAUAUUUAUUUGAUACACAUGGGAGCUCAGUUUGAUGAAUUGAAAGUGUGUAAUACAUUUUUGGGGGAUUCUUAAAGGAUGAAAUAAUGUAAUGAUCAUUUUGAUAACAUCGACUGUAUAAAUUGUUAUGACGAUAAUAACUCUUCCGUAUAUUGUCCAGCCCUGAGGAAUAAAGAAAGAUGAUGCCAAUUCAUAAUUUGUGAAAAACAAAAAUACCUCCCUCGACAUUUAAGUAUAUUUAAUAUUCAUCAUCAAAUUAGCUGAGACAGGAUUUAGGUUAUCGAUCGUAACAUAUUUCAAAUGCAGCGAUCUGGGAGCCAUGCUUCAGACUCAUUGCUUUAAUUCAGUGUGAUCAUACGAUGAACAUACAAUCAGUCGGAGGCUUGGCUUCCUCUGACGAUCACUGUUUGGAUUCCCAUUAGCACACCGUUGCUAGGGCUGUAUCUAUUCCACCCCGCUAUCUGUUUACCAUCCCGGCCUCGCACUCUGGCCUCAAACGUCAUAUUCUACAUCUCAAUACGUAAAGCUGUUGAUCCGACAUAAGCCCUCUACUCACUGUAGACGUAAUAACCACAACGUGAUUCCUGUUAAGUAGGCAACUGUGGGUUCACAGUAUUUAGUGCUUCUAUUUAGAUGUCGAACGAGUUUCUGAUUUUCUGAAACAGCUGUUUCACAUGGAUGUACACAGGCUUUUCUGUAAGACAAAGAGCCAGGGGGACGAGCGUUCUCUUCUGUUUAUAAAAGCCGCAUGGCUGGACGUUGAUGAAUAUACAUGAUGGGCGGCGGUUCGGUGGGGUGUUUGCAUGGUAAUGGUAAACGAGCUGUAGUCUGAUCCAACUGUUCUUCCUUCCAUGUGAUAGUAAACUGGAGCAUUUAUAACUGGAAACCAAAGCAUUCAUGUUCUUUUUUUACCAAAAUAUUUGUCUUGUGCCAACUUUCUCAUUCUAGUUGUAAUUUAAAAAGGUACAAUAAAUUGUUGUUGAUGGUGUUUAUGACCGUGGUGGUUCUUUAUGCUAUUACAAAAAUAGCGAUGACUUUUUUUGGACUUAUUCUUGACAGGAUCAUGAAUACAUGUGACUACUAUCAGCUC